CGGGUGCUUCCGCCUGGGGGCGCCCGCGCGGGGGAGCGCAGGGAGGGGGUGCCUGAGUCAGCGGCCGCGGUCCAAGAAAACAGGCCGGAGUCACCUGCCUGCCGUGGGGGUGUCCCAGCCAGCUGCCCCGGCGGCCUGGCCGCCUGCAUCCCUUAACGGUGACCUCAGAAGGCGUUUAUGGAGCGAUUAACCUGCGCCAGGCCUGCCUAGUGCAGCGGGGGACCAGCCGCCCAGCCGUGACCUUUCCGGGCCUGUUCCUGCGGCUCUGGGCGCUCCCCGUGGCUGCAGAGACCGGGCCUCCCGCGCGCUCACCCUGGAGCGCCCAGGGGGGCUGGGGGUGGGCAGGAUUGCCCUACCCAUUCCACAGACCACCCACUGAGGCCUCGCAGCAGCAGGUGAAGACGGGACACGUGCGGUGUCUCCCACCACAUUGCUGUCUGGGUAGAGAACGUUUUGAGGAUGACCCUGAUGGGCACGGGGCCUCUCAGUUCUCCUGCUCCCUCUGCCCAAAGGAAGGGGACCCCAGGACCUACUCCCCUACCCCAGGUCCGUUUAUCUGGUUUCUCACUUUAUCUGGCCUGGCCACCUCCCCGGGGCGGUGUUGCUUUCCAGGUCUCCCUCCAGCUCCCACCCAGUGCUCCUGCAGCGUCUGACAGGCCCCCCACCCAGUCACACCCACACCCUCCCAGCCCCACAGGGUCAGGGCUGGGCUGCAAGCAGAGGCUGAGACAACCGUCAUCCCUUGCCGGGGACUGUGGCUGAGGCAUGGAGGUGGCGGGACAGAGGACAGGGAUCCAGAAAAGCAUCCCUGUGCUCCAGCUGGUCCUGGGUGGGAGCACACACGCAGUCCGAGGGGAACCCCUUCCUCAACAAGGAACAAACCCUUCUGGGAGCCUGCCCUCGAGGAAAAGGUUGUGGUCGCCGGUUCCUGGUCAUAGGACCUGCUCCAGCCUUGGGGCCUCCACCCCAGGACCAGGCUGAGGAAUCCUGGCUGUAUCCGGAGCCGUACCCCCACCUGGAGGCUGAGAUCUCCCAGGAAACAGGCGUCUGGGAGAAGGACCGGGGCGUGGGUGGUGCUGGCCCAGCCAGCUGGAUGGAAGUGCUGCUGUCCUGGCCACACUGCUGUGCCCCUCGACCACCCCUUGGGCCCCACACUGCGUCCCUGGUCUUACUGGUCCCAAGGCCUGAGCAGGAGCUCUAGGACCCAGCCUCCCAAAACGAGGGAACAGGGACAAGCGGGCCUGCACCUGGGAUCCCGUGGCUCUCGUGGCAUCCUCUGGCCUGGGGGCCCCUGGGGGAGUGGGCGCCAGCCGCCUGGGCCUACCAGCCUGAGUGGGGGGGCCCAGACAGAAAGGCCCCCUAGCUGUGAGCUGGCCCGCAGACCCCCACAAGCACAGCUCCCGCCACCUUUAUCCUCUGAUGAAGCCACGGGACAGUCACUCACACGGGACCGUGACACACAAGUACACAGCCCAUCUCUGCUGACAACAUGCCCAGGGGUGGCCUCCCUAUCACCUCCAGGCUGCUGAUGACACAUAGGAAGACCCGGACUCCCCUGCACACUCACCCCCCUGGAAUCUCCUGCCAGCCUGGCUCAAGCUCAGGGCUUAGAAAAGGGGGGACGCACACGGCUGGAGAAAAGGCCAGGUGAGG